ensembl:lncRNA
AGAUGGCAUUGAGCAUUUAUGAAAGAAUGUUGCUCAUCAUUACUUGCUGAAUGUGUGACAGAGCUGGAGGGAGGAAGAACAAUUGAGAUCUGAUUCUUACCCCUAGGCCUGUUCCUCUCCUUCCAUGCUUGUGGAUUGAAGCCCUUUUCUGAGCAGCAUCCUGCCAGCAAGGCCGUACCAACUUCCAUUUCUGUGUCCAGGACUCAUCUAGAUUCAGGUGCUUUUCUAUGGUAGAAGAUCGGGGUCUUCCUCUUUGACCCCCUUUGGUCUGGCUUAAUUGUGGGCGCUGAACCCCCCUCCCCAGAGCCAUGCUGUGAGCAUCAGGAUUGUGCCAACAGUGCCCUGGGGCAGCGGCAGAGAGACAAUGUGCAGAAGAGAAGAGAUUAGCCUGGUGCUUUUUGCAUGGUAUCACACGCUCUGGCAGAGUGAUGCACAAAAAAUUCUGCAAGAGAAAUCAAAAUUUUGGGCUUAUAGACGUAUAGGCCAGAAUUCACUGAACAGCUGUUUUGGUGAUGCCAAAAGGAAAAUAAGAGUUCCCCAGGAGAUCUGGAUCCUUCAGUUUAUUAUCUGGCAAAGUCUGAAAUUCAGGGCACGUAAUGGUCAAAGUGCAAAAGAUGCACAGAAAAGAAGUUGAAGAAGAAUCAAGAAGUACGUGCAAAACCAUCCUUCCUCUAUCCAUGUCAUAACAGCAAGCCUUUGAGUUCAUGCCUUCCCAUUUGUUGGGGCUAUUCCCUCCUCAAUUUCUUUAGCUCCUUAGUCUUGUCUUCAGGCUCACAUCUCUUCCAAAAGCACCGCUGUUGAAAACAGGAGAGGCCCAGCUGUACGUGUUAAAUGGCUUUCUUGCUUGGCUUCCAAUCCACUGUGCAUGAUUUACUGCUUGUAUAGCAACCUGCAGUCCAAAUCAGGAGCAUCUUUUCCAGAUGAUCCUAGGCUGAAACAAACCCAUUUUCUUUGUGGUGAUUCCAUCUGGACAGACAACUGUUCAGAAUAGUAAUUCUGAAUCAUUAUCAGCCCAAAAUAUCGCUCUCUAAUGCAGAGAUCAAAAGGCAAGCAAGUGACAGUAAAAAAUGAAAUGAAUAUUCAGAUAACAAAACGUGGGUGUGUUUUUUCUCAGCUUUAAAGGAAGCUUUUCAAGGAAGUUAAAUCAGCUCAGAUUCCAGAUCAUGUUGAAUUCUGUGGGUUUUUCAUGUGGCUAUGCAGUAUAUGCUGAAGCAUGUAUGUGUGUGGCAAUGGACUCCUUUAGUUGCCUGUGCUGCCUUGGUUAAGAAUGGAACUAGUCACAAUAAUUAAUUAGUCAGCAUCACAACAAUUAUGUGCUUGAAGAAAUAUUUCUAAGCACAUUUCAUCUGCUAAUAAUUAAAAAACAUACAGGAUGUUUUUAGUAAAAGUUAUUAUAAUGGGUUAUAAUAAGAACAGAUGUUGUUUAAUGAACAUACUGUGCUUUAAUGUUUGAAAAGCAAAGACAUGCAGCAUUUAUUUGUAUGUGAAUGGUUUUUUUAAGCUAUCUCCAUUGGGAACUGAGGGAAUUGAUGACAUUCUUACUAUUAGCAUGAGUAAGUUUCACUUGGGUGAGAUGCACUCUUUGGGGUUUCUGAAGUGUUUUUUCAUUUUGCGGUAACAGAGGCUGAUUUUUAUUUAUUAAUUUCAACUCUGAAACAUCAAAACAUUCUUGAUCUUCUCUGUUCCUAGUUUUUAAGAGUGUGCCAAUCCUCAGCAACUGCUGCCAUGGCGAGAUGUCACUGAAUUGAACACGACUGUAAAUAAAAUUAAGAGCAU